CUCCUCCUUUUCCGUCUGCGUCGGGAGCUCCCGGGCACGUGAGGCCGUGCCGCGUUUGCUGGCGGGCGGGACGGCCUAGUCGGGCGGCGCCUCGGAGGAGGCCGCGGACCCGUUAGGUACUGGGCCCUUGGAAAUCGGCGCGUGGGGGGCGGUGCUCGACCUGAGCGCGAGAGGGCGGGAGAGCUCGUGGGGUGCGAGGGGAGCAGGACGCCCGGCCGGGCAGCAUGAGUCAGCAGCGGCCGGCGAGGAAGUUACCCAGUCUCCUCCUGGACCCGACGGAGGAGACAGUUCGCCGUCGGUGCCGAGACCCCAUCAACGUGGAGGGCCUGCUGCCAUCAAAAAUAAGGAUUAAUUUAGAAGAUAAUGUACAAUAUGUGUCCAUGAGAAAAGCUCUAAAAGUGAAGAGACCUCGUUUUGAUGUAUCACUGGUUUAUUUAACUCGAAAAUUUAUGGAUCUUGUCAGAUCUGCUCCUGGGGGUAUUCUUGACUUAAACAAGGUUGCAACGAAACUGGGAGUCCGAAAGCGGAGAGUGUAUGACAUCACCAAUGUCUUAGAUGGAAUCGACCUCGUUGAGAAGAAAUCCAAGAACCAUAUUCGAUGGAUAGGAUCUGAUCUUAGCAAUUUUGGAGCAGUUCCCCAACAAAAGAAGCUACAGGAGGAACUUUCUGACUUAUCAGCAAUGGAAGAUGCUUUGGAUGAGUUAAUUAAGGAUUGUGCUCAGCAGCUGUUUGAGUUAACAGAUGACAAAGAAAAUGAAAGAUAUCCUUUAAGUCUAUACCUUUUUAAAAUUUCUGCUUCCAAAACAGAUUACUUAAGUAGUAGAGUCAGCUUGGGGACUUAAUUUAUAUAUUUAAGAUAUAAAAUUAGACCAUUAAAAGUUAAAGUAAUACAAAAUUAGCCAGGCGUGGUGGCACAUGGCUGUAAUCCCAGCUCCUUGGGAGGCUGAGGCAGGAGAAUCACUUGAACCUGGGAGGCAGAGGUUGCAGUGAGCGGAGAUGGCGCCAUUGCACUCCAGCCUGGGCAACAAGAGCAAAACUCCGUCUCAAAAAAACAAAAAA
rnacentral:sRNA from 1 species